GUGCUCACUUGGGCAGCACAUAUUCUAAAAUUGGAAUGAUACAGAGAUUAGCAUGGUCCCUGCGCAAGGAUGACAUGAUUUUAAAAAUUCUAAAGUAUG
ensembl:snRNA U6 U6 spliceosomal RNA